rnacentral:ncRNA from 2 species
ACAGGCCACUCUGAAAAGCAGACGCUCCCGAGACCCACCGGGUCCGGACGUCUCGCCCACGGUGAAAGCCGCCGGACCUCACGGGCCGCGGUGAAACUCUCAGGCACAUGACAGAGGGGGAGUU